rnacentral:rRNA from 1 species
GGCUCUUGGGUCGUAAACCUCUUUUCUCAGGGAAGAACACAAUGACGGUACCUGAGGAAUAAGCAUCGGCUAACUCCGUGCCAGCAGCCGCGGUAAUACGGAGGAUGCAAGCGUUAUCCGGAAUGAUUGGGCGUAAAGCGUCCGCAGGUGGCUGUGUAAGUCUGCUGUUAAAGAGUCUAGCUCAACUAGAUAAAAGCAGUGGAAACUACAUACGCUAGAGUACGUUCGGGGCAGAGGGAAUUCCUGGUGUAGCGGUGAAAUGCGUAGAGAUCAGGAAGAACACCAGUGGCGAAGGCGCUCUGCUAGGCCGUAACUGACACUGAGGGACGAAAGCUAGGGGAGCGAAUGGGAUUAGAUACCCCAGUAGUCCUAGCCGUAAACGAUGGAUACUAGGCGUGGCUUGUAUCGACCCGAGCCGUGCCGUAGCUAACGCGUUAAGUAUCCCGCCUGGGGAGUACGCCGGCAACGGUGAAACUCAAAGGAAUUGACGGGGGCCCGCACAAGCGGUGGAGUAUGUGGUUUAAUUCGAUGCAACGCGAAGAACCUUACCAAGGCUUGACAUGUCGCGAAUCCUGGUGAAAGCCGGGAGUGCCUUCGGGAGCGCGAACACAGGUGGUGCAUGGCUGUCGUCAGCUCGUGUCGUGAGAUGUUGGGUUAAGUCCCGCAACGAGCGCAACCCUCGUUUUUAGUUGCCAGCAUUAAGUUGGGCACUCUAGAGAGACUGCCGGUGACAAACCGGAGGAAGGUGGGGAUGACGUCAAGUCAGCAUGCCCCUUACGCCUUGGGCUACACACGUACUACAAUGCUCCGGACAGAGGGCAGCAAGCAUGCGAAUGCAAGCAAAUCCCGUAAACCGGAGCUCAGUUCAGAUCGCAGGCUGCAACUCGCCUGCGUGAAGGAGGAAUCGCUAGUAAU